rnacentral:rRNA from 1 species
CAGUCGCCACGGGAAUACGUAGGUGGCAAACGUUAUCCGGAAUUAUUGGGCGUAAAGCGCGCGUAGGUGGUUUUUUAAGUCUGAUGUGAAAGCCCACGGCUCAACCGUGGAGGGUCAUUGGAAACUGGAAAACUUGAGUGCAGAAGAGGAAAGUGGAACUCCAUGUGUAGCGGUGAAAUGCGCAGAGAUAUGGAGGAACACCAGUGGCGAAGGCGACUUUCUGGUCUGUAACUGACGCUGAUGUGCGAAAGCGUGGGGAUCAAACAGGAUUAGAGACCCCUGUAGUCCCUGUCUCUUAUAC